GACGAACGCUGGCGGCGUGCUUAACACAUGCAAGUCGAACGGAAAGGCCCUGCUUUUGUGGGGUGCUCGAGUGGCGAACGGGUGAGUAACACGUGAGUAACCUGCCCUUGACUUUGGGAUAACUUCAGGAAACUGGGGCUAAUACCGGAUAGGAGCUCCUGCUGCAUGGUGGGGGUUGGAAAGUUUCGGCGGUUGGGGAUGGACUCGCGGCUUAUCAGCUUGUUGGUGGGGUAGUGGCUUACCAAGGCUUUGAUGGGUAGCCGGCCUGAGAGGGUGACCGGCAACAUUGGGACUGAGAUACGGCCCAGACUCCUACGGGAGGCAGCAGUGGGGAAUAUUGCACAAUGGGCGGAAGCCUGAUGCAGCAACGCCGCGUGCGGGAUGACGGCCUUCGGGUUGUAAACCGCUUUCGCCUGUGACGAAGCGUGAGUGACGGUAAUGGGUAAAGAAGCACCGGCUAACUACGUG
rnacentral:rRNA from 1 species